CUAAAAUACAUUUCCCUUAAUUCCGUAAAUAGUGGGCGCUACUUGCAGCGUUGCACGACUUAACGCUACAGUUUCCUUUUCCUCCACUUUUUCCUUUCCCUCCAACUUUCCAUUUCCCUCAUCUUCUCUCCCGCUUCUUUUCUCCUCUCUGCGUCUCUCUGUCUCCAUCUGAUUCAUCUGAAGUUUUGAGCUCAUUUUCAUUCCCCAUCUUCUCUCUGUCUCUGAAGGAAUCUUGGUGUUUGGUGCUUUGGAAGAUUGGAUGAUGGGUAGUUGAAGCAUAAGACCUCAACGUCUGGGCUAUCGGGCGUAAACUGACGGGAAAUGAGGAUUUAGA